rnacentral:ncRNA from 1 species
GCACAGAAAAGGUAAACCUGUCGAAAGGCAGGGACACAAAGCAACGGUCUAACCGGCCAUCUGGCCGAAUGACAGACGGGCUGCCUAG